UACGUAGGGAGCAAGCGUUGUCCGGAGUUAUUGGGCGUAAAGAGCUCGUAGGCGGCUUAGAAAGUCAGGUGUGAAACCUCCAGGCUCAACCUGGAGACGCCACUUGAUACUUCUAUGGCUUGAGUUCGGUAGGGGAUCACGGAAUUCCUGGUGUAGCGGUGAAAUGCGCAGAUAUCAGGAGGAACACCGAUGGCGAAGGCAGUGAUCUGGGCCGAUACUGACGCUGAGGAGCGAAAGCGUGGGGAGCGAACAGG
rnacentral:rRNA from 1 species